rnacentral:rRNA from 1 species
GAUGAACGUUGGCGGCGUGCCUAAUACAUGCAAGUCGAACGAAGACUGUAGUAAUACUGUCUUAGUGGCGAACGGGUGAGUAACGCGUGGGUGACCUGCCCCGAAGUGUGGGAUAACAGUUCGAAAGAACUGCUAAUACCGCAUAACAUCCAAGAGAUUAGAAGCUUUUUGGAUUAAAGGAGUAAUUCGCUUCGGGAGGGGCCCGCGUCCCAUCAGCUAGUUGGUAAGGUAAUGGCUUACCAAGGCGAUGACGGGUAGGGGACCUGAGAGGGUGGCCCCCCACAAUGGAACUGAAACACGGUCCAUACACCUACGGGUGGCAGCAGUAGGGAAUAUUAGUAAUGGGCGAAAGCCUGAACUAGCAACGCCGCGUGUGCGAAGAAGGCCUUCGGGUUGUAAAGCACUUUUGAGAGGAUGAGGAAGGACGGUACUCUCAGAAUAAGUCUCGGCUAACUACGUG